UUUCUCCUACGGGAGGCAGCAGUGAGGAAUAUUGGUCAAUGGACGAGAGUCUGAACCAGCCAAGUAGCGUGAAGGAUGACUGCCCUAUGGGUUGUAAACUUCUUUUAUAUGGGAAUAAAAUGUUUCACGUGUGGGAUUUUGUAUGUACCAUAUGAAUAAGGAUCGGCUAACUCCGUGCCAGCAGCCGCGGUAAUACGGAGGAUCCGAGCGUUAUCUGGAUUUAUUGGGUUUAAAGGGAGCGUAGGUGGAUUGUUAAGUCAGUUGUGAAAGUUUGCGGCUCACUCGUAAAAUUGCAGUUGAUACUG
rnacentral:rRNA from 1 species